AUUUAUUUAAAUUUGCUGAUAUUCUUAUUAAAAGAGGUGUCAUCAAUGCUAUUAAUCUUGAUGGAGGUGGAUCAAACACUUUACUAGAAGAAGGAACUCUUGUAAACUAUCCUGGUGACUACUGUCAUGAGGAUAAGAAGCUUUACUUAUGCCCAAGGAAAGUAUCAACAGUGUUGUGUGUUCAUGAUGUUGCUAAUGACACUGAUAGUUCUAGUAAUGAUGGUGGUGGUGGGGGUCUACUCCCUGUGUCUCUCCAUGGUGUGGGGAGAAAUGUGAACUACUGAACUGUGAUGAAACUGAUUGUAAUGGAAAUGGAGUUUGUACUAAUGGAUCUUGUAAGUGUGAAGCAGGAUGGUAUGGUAGUCUCUGUGAGAAAUGGAUGGUACAAUGAGUCAGCCGGCUGUGUUUGCUGCUUCUGAUCAUCAAGAAAUAAUUAUACAUUCACUCCAUGU